rnacentral:lncRNA from 1 species
CCAAACAGGUCGGGAACAAGAUGCACCAGAAAUUCAUUUUCAGUUCCAAACAAACAACGACAAUCACACUACAGAUAUGGACACAAUGGAAAACAGACCUAAAACAACCAAAUCAUUCAUCAAACUAAAAUAAAAAACCCAUCUGACCAUGUACAAAGAUAAUCGGUAAAAGAACAUGAGUUCAGACCGGUAACUGGAGCAGGUCAUAAGACUAGAAACCCAAACUAUUACAGACCUCUGGCAAAUUCCGCACAAAUCCAAGCCCAGAUCCAACACAACCACAUCAGCCUAUCACAAACCCAAACGCCAAAGCUCCAAACCGGCUCCAAGAUUGGGUGGGCCGGUAGAGGAGGAGGAUAGGGAAAAUGAUGUUCGAGGGUGGGGUGGAGGAUUCAUGCAAAGACUAAAAACACCCAUAAUCUGAUCAGGUUGAGAAGUAGGAAAGAGAUAAGAAUCAGACCUGGUUAGUAUGGAACAUAUCUAAAUGCAACCUCCAACCAAAAUUAGAACCAGAUCUGAUAAGGAAAAUUUGAUUUGUUUUGUUUCAAUGCAGAAUAAAAGUUGUUUUACCAAAUUUAUCCUUGAUUAAAUAAUUUAAAUUAACAAAAUGGUGUAAAUAUUUUGAAGAAGCAAUAUCAACUUACCAAUUUUAAAGAGAAAGAAUGAGGUGGUUGCAUAUUUGAUGACUAAAUUUGGAGAGGCUAUUGGAGAUGUUCUUACAACACCAUCAAUGCAAAUGAAUAUAAUUGGGGACUGAUCAGUUAUUAUAAUUAAGCUGAUUGGAAUAUUAUUGUAAGUUACUCCUUGAGUUUUUCCUUCACAUGCAAUCUCCGUUUACGCACGUACAUUUCAACUUACACAUCAAAAUACGUACCUUAAUUAAACGCAGAGGCGGAACCAGGGAUCCGGAGUCAUAUGACCCUCACCCUAAAUCUCCGGGGGAUAUUUGUUUUUUCUUCCCUUCUUUUUUUUUGUGUUUUCUUCUCUUCUUUACUUUUC